rnacentral:rRNA from 1 species
UACAGAGGUCUCAAGCGUUGUUCGGAUUCAUUGGGUUUAAAGGGUGCGUAGGCGGACUGAUAAGUCAGUGGUGAAAUCUCUUUGCUUAACAAAGAAACUGCCAUUGAUACUGUCGGUCUAGAGUAUAGAUGACGUUGGCGGAAUAUGACAUGUAGUGGUGAAAUACUUAGAUAUGUCAUAGAACACCGAUUGCGAAGGCAGCUAACGAAACUAUAACUGACGCUGAGGCACGAAAGUGCGGGGAUCAAACAGG